GAUGAACGCUGGCGGCGUGCUUAACACAUGCAAGUCGAACGGAAAGGCCAGUGCUUGCACUGGUGCUCGAGUGGCGAACGGGUGAGUAACACGUGGGUGAUCUGCCCUGCACUUUGGGAUAAGCCUGGGAAACUGGGUCUAAUACCAGAUAGGACCAUGCUUUGGAUGGUGUGGUGGAAAGUUUUUUCGGUGUGGGAUGAGCUUGCGGCCUAUCAGCUUGUUGGUGGGGUAAUGGCCUACCAAGGCGUCGACGGGUAGCCGGCCUGAGAGGGUGUACGGCGACAUUGGGACUGAGAGACGGCCCAGACUCCUACGGGAGGCAGCAGUGGGGAAUAUUGCACAAUGGGCGCAAGCCUGAUGCAGCGACGCCGCGUGGGGGAUGACGGCCUUCGGGUUGUAAACUCCUUUCGCAACUGACGAAGCUUUUUGUGACGGUAGGUUGAGAAGAAGCACCGGCUAACUACGUG
rnacentral:rRNA from 1 species